AUUUUCCCUCUGUGUUCUCCCCCCCUUAUGUUUUUUCACAGAUCACUGGAGGCAAACAUCGAAUUAAUUGGAUCUCAGUGACUGAGGUUGGUAACAUUGUGCUGAACUAAGGUUAUCUCUGACAUUAUGUCCAGGUAUCUGCAAGAAUUUUUAGGCAUUUCUAGAGAAGAUCUCUCCUCCUGUCUGCCGAGAGGGUUGAACUGUAAAUCUGUCUCAAAUGAUGUACCCCUAAAAUGUAGGUAUCUGUGGAGGAAGAAGGUGUCGCGACGAGAACCGCCUGCCAGCCAGAGCGGGGACCUGCCCGGCAGAAGGCUACGUGAUGGACGAGGGCUGCGUGGUCACGAUGCAAAAGGCACAGCGGGACGGCGUGCUGGCACCAAACGCUUUUUUUUUUUUUUUUUUUUGUUCGCCACAACCAGAAGGAAACAUGGAGGGGGGCGAGGAGGGAAGGCAGUGGGGGCUGGGAGGGAGAGAUCGGAGAAGUUAGUGGUUGUCUGGAGUGUAAACACGAGUCCAUCAGCUCCUCGGGAGAAGGGCGGCUGCGCUCGGCAGACCCGCGGAGCCGCAGGACACAGGAGGGGCGGAGGCAGCCCCUGCCCGCCCCGGGUCCCCGCCGCACGUCCGGAGCCCCGAGGGCUGCAGG
rnacentral:lncRNA from 1 species